AUGUGCCGGGAGCUGCCAGUGCCUAGUCGCUGCUCGGAGGGAGCAAUGGGAGAAGCAGCGGUGGCGGUGGCGCAGGGUGUUUUAAUUCAAAUAGGUGAUGAAAAGGACUCUUGGGAAGUGAAAACUUUAGAUGACAUUCUUCAGGAAAAGAAACGAAGAGGGGAACAAGUGGAGAAAGCAGAGAUAAAACGCUUAAAAAAUUCUGUGACCAGGUUUCCAAGAGGGAUUCCCUUGAAGAGGGGGAGCUGAGAGAUCAUGGCAUGGAGAUCAUGAUAAGGAACUCACCAUAUAGAACAGAGGGUUCUAUGGAAGACAGAGGAGAGGAAGAUGAUUCUUUGGCUAUCAAAGAAUCACAGCAAAUGUCUCGGGAAGAAAAAGCUCAUCACAGAAAAGAUGAAAAGAGAGAAGAGAAACAUAGGCAUUGCAGCCAUUCAGCAGAAGCGGGGAAGUGUUCAAGAGUGAGAGAAAAGGAACAAGAACAGGAACGUCAGAAACGACAUCGAGAAGGACAGGACAGAGCUCGCUGGGAGUUGGAAAGACAGAAAAGGAGAGAGAUCCUCCAGGAGAGAGAGAGAUCGCCUUGAGCAGUUAGAAAGGAAGGGAGAAGGGGAGCACAAAAUGCGAGAGCAGCAGCAGGAGCAGUGAGAGCGGAAGGAGCGCGAGCCGCCGGCUGAGCGGCGGCGCAGGGAGCGCGAGGUCUGCCGGGAAGGCUCUGCACAGCAUCAAACAGCGCGGGAGGACUGUGGCGACAAGGCCAAGGCCAGCCAGUGGAGCCGUAGCCCCCUCGGGCAGCCCAGGGAGCGCUUCGAGCUGGGAGACAGCCGGAAGCCAACAAAAGAAGAGAAAAUGGAAGAAAAAGACCUGCUGUCCUACCUGCGAGAGGAAAACCAGCUUGGCGGUCAGGUUCUGAGGAGGAAGACGAGGAGGAGGAAGAGGAAGGGAGCGCCAGUGAAGAAGAAUCAGAGGAGGAGGAGACUGGGAGCAACUCUGAGGAGGCCUCAGAGCAGUCAGCGGAAGAAGUAAGUGAGGAAGAAAUGAGUGAGGAUGAAGAGCGAGAAAAUGAAAACCACCUCUUGCUUGCUCCAGAGUCACGAUUUGACAGAGAUUCUGGGGAAAGUGAAGAAGGAGAGGAAGAAGUGGGUGAGGGCAACCCGCACAGCAGUGUACCAACAGAAGGGGACUAUGUGCCGGACUCCCCAGCCUUGUCACCCAUCAAGCUCAAGCAGGAGCUGCUCAAGUAUCUGUCGGCCCUGCAGGGCUGCCGGAGCAUGGAGGAGUUCCAGUGCCUGAACAGGAUUGAGGAAGGCACCUAUGGGGUGGUGUACAGGGCAGAGGACAAGAAGACAGAUGAAACUGUGGCUCUGAAGUGGCUCAAAAUGGAGAAGGAGAAAGAGGGCUUCCCAAUCACAUCUCUGAGGGAAAUCAACACCAUCCUCAAGGCCCAGCACCCCAACAUUGUCACUGUCAGGGAGAUCGUGGUGGGCAGCAACAUGGAUAAAAUUUACAUCGUGAUGAACUACGUGGAGCACGACCUCAAGAGCCUGAUGGAGACCAUGAAGCAGCCUUUCCUGGUAGGGAGGUGAAGACCCUGAUGAUCCAGCUGCUUCGUGGGGUGAAGCACCUACACGACAACUGGAUCCUGCACUGAGACCUCAAGACGUCCAACCUGCUGCUGAGUCACUCCGGCAUCCUCAAGGUGGGCGACUUUGGCCUAGCACGGGAGUAUGGGUCUCUUCUGAAGGCCUACACCCCUGUGGUGGUGACCCUAUGGUACUGUGUCCCAGAGCUCCUACUUAGUGCCAAGGAGUACUCCACGGCUGUGGACAUGUGGUCAGUGGGCUGCAUCUUUGGGGAGCUGCUGCCUCAGAAGCCUCUGUUCCUUGGGAAGUCGGAAAUCGAUCAGAUCAACAAAAUGUUCAAGGACCCGGGGACCCCCAGUGAGAAAAUCUGGCCUGGCUACAAUGACCUCCCAGCAGUGAAGAAGAUGACCUUCAGCAAGUCCCCCUAUAACAACCUCAGCAAGUGCUUUGGGGCCCUGCUAUCGAACCAGGGCUUUGAUCUCAUGAACAAGUUUCUGACCUACUACCCUGGGAGGAGGAUCAAUGCUGAAGAUGGCCUCAAGCACGAGUAUUUUCACGAGAUCCCCCUCUGCAUCGAGCCCUCCAUGUUCCCCACGUGGCCUGCCAAGAGCAAGCAGCAGCAGGUGAAGUGGGGUACCAGCCCACGGCCCCGAGGGAGGCCUGGGCUACAGCCAGCUGGGCGAUGACUACCUGAAGGAUACCGGCUUCCACCUCACUACCACAAACCAGGGGGCCUCAGCUGCAGGCCCUGGCUUUAGCCUCAAGUUCUGA